GCGAGUCUUGUUGCAUCGACUGUCAAUUAAGUCUUUUAUUUUUAGCCAUUUAUCCACCAAGAUGUUUCCAAAUCUUAAUCAAGCAACUCUUGAGAUAUUACGGAAACGAAAGAGUCCAAAGCGUCGUGCAGAUGACAAAUUCCAUAGAUUCAUACCGAAAAUAACAACGAGUUCACUAUUUAACAGUUUUAUCAUGGUUAU